rnacentral:ncRNA from 1 species
UCACGACAAAGGCAAAGUUGGCGAAAGCCAGUGACGCAAAGCUAAAGGGGCUUCCUUGUCCUGAAACCGGACUCGCAGCCAGCCAGCCGCCGAA